UAAUUGAAGAGUUUGAUCAUGGCUCAGAUUGAACGCUGGCGGCAGGCCUAACACAUGCAAGUCGAGCGGCAGCACAGAGAAACUUGUUUCUCGGGUGGCGAG
rnacentral:rRNA from 1 species